GACGAACGCUGGCGGCGUGCUUAACACAUGCAAGUCGAACGGAAAGGCCCUGCUUUUGUGGGGUGCUCGAGUGGCGAACGGGUGAGUAACACGUGAGUAACCUGCCCUUGACUUUGGGAUAACUUCAGGAAACUGGGGCUAAUACCGGAUAGGAGCUCCUGCUGCAUGGUGGGGGUUGGAAAGUUUCGGCGGUUGGGGAUGGACUCGCGGCUUAUCAGCUUGUUGGUGGGGUAGUGGCUUACCAAGGCUUUGACGGGUAGCCGGCCUGAGAGGGUGACCGGCAACAUUGGGACUGAGAUACGGCCCAGACUCCUACGGGAGGGAGCAGUGGGGAAUAUUGCACAAUGGGCGGAAGCCUGAUGCAGCAACGCCGCGUGCGGGAUGACGGCCUUCGGGUUGUAAACCGCUUUCGCCUGUGACGAAGCGUGAGUGACGGUAAUGGGUAAAGAAGCACCGGCUAACUACGUG
rnacentral:rRNA from 1 species